UACGUAGGGAGCGAGCGUUAAUCGGAAUUACUGGGCGUAAAGCGUGCGCAGGCGGUUUUGUAAGUCAGAUGGGAAAUCCCCGGGCUUAACCUGGGAACUGCGUUUGAAACUACAAGGCUAGAGUGUGGCAGAGGGGGGUGGAAUUCCACGUGUAGCAGUGAAAUGCGUAGAGAUGUGGAGGAACACCGAUGGCGAAGGCAGCCCCCUGGGAUAACACUGACGCUCAUGCACGAAAGCGUGGGGAGCAAACAGG
rnacentral:rRNA from 1 species